rnacentral:lncRNA from 1 species
GGAAUUGGAGAACGCCCAUUUAUACAAACAAAUAUAAGUGGGCAAAAUCAAUACUCAUAAUAAAGACACAAAGACGACUAAAAACCUUAUUAAACUAGAUCCAGUAUGCAGCAUAACAGAAAAGGGGGUAUUUCAAGGAGUAGAGCGAGAAGGUGGUGGAGAAAAGAAAGGAAUAGAAGGAACUGCAGUUGGGAUUGAGGGAAUGCUUGGCAGAGGCGACAGUCCUCUUGGCAAUGUGGUAGGAAGUGGAGGAAGCGCCCCAGGGUUUGGGAGAUAAGGGAAAGAUGGCAAUGGUGGAAAAGAGAAAGGAAUAGGGGGAAUUGCAGUUGGGAUUGUGGGGACUGAGGGAAUGCUUGGCAGAGGGGGCAGUCCUGUUGGGAAUGUGGUAGGAAGUGGAGGAAGCGCCCCAGGCCAUGGGAAUGAUUGUCGGGAUGGCGUUGGGAGAUUAGGGAAAGAUGGUAAACUUUGCGGUUGAGGCUGCUGCAGAAGGUGACGAGCUGCUACCCCAACAUCAAUGCUUGCAAAUGACAAAGCAAUCAAGAAUGCUAAAGCAAGGAAAUUGAAAGAGGCCAUUUUUGUUCAGAGAUUUCGAAACAAAUGAAGCAGAUGAAACAAAGUUCUUUAUCUGAAUAGUUGUGGGUGAAGAAAACAAAGCAUGGUAUUGAGGUUUAUAUAGGCAUUGGAGCAGUGAAUAGAAAUCCCCUGCCCCUAAACAAUGCUCCAUGCAUGCCCCCAAACCAAAAUAGCUCCACAUGUUUUUUAUUUUUUUCAUUUUAAUUUUUUAAAAUAAAAACUCUGUAAUGAUUUGAAUUAAUUUUUAACUUAUUAUCAACGUUUUUAUUUUUGUUUUAUUUUUAUUUUACAUUAAUUUUACCUAUUCUUUAAUUAACAAAUUUAUAAUGACUUAGAGUUAAUUUGAGAGAUUUUUUUUUUAUAAUUGGUCUUAUAAUAAAAUUUUACAAAGCAGAAACAAGUUCCACUGUGAAAACAUGAUCCUUAAAUUUUUGGAGAUAACCAUGUUAAUUUUUUAAUCCCAACCAAAAUUCUAAAUAAUUCUUUUAUGUCAUAUUAAAUACACGUAACGUCUUAUAAAAAUUGUCAAUAAAUUAUGCAUAGUGACAAGGUUAUUCAAAUCUAAUUUCAUUGUUAAUACCUAUUUCUAUUUUUCUUCUACUGUCUUCAACUUUAAAUAUAAAGGGAUUGAAAUUUUAAGAAUUGAGAUUUCUUUUCUCUGUAUUAGUGGACGUUUGAUUUUUUAUUUUAUUUUUUUAUUGGAAUUGAUACAUAUCUUUUCAGAUUUAUCAAUAUAUUUUAAAAUUUUAUAAGAUAUGUAUAUAAAUAUAUUAAAAAUAUAAAAUGAAUGAAACUAAAUACAUUUCACAUAUAAAAUAUUCAUUAAUCAACUUAAGAAAUAAAAAUUUAUCAUUCAAAUAAUCCAAAAUUAUUACUAAUAAUCUCAUUUAAUAUGAAAUUUUAAGGAUUUAGCUCAUUUACUUAAUAAAAGUAGUUGAAAGGUGAAUGAAUAUUUUUUUUAUAAUCGGGUGAAUGGUUUUUUUCUUAAUUAUAUUUUUAAUGUGAAAGUAUAUUCUAAUUUUUUUUAAAAACUUUACAUUCCGAUGUAGCAUUUUUAAUUAGUCACGUUUCAAUUAAGUUUUUAGCAUAAUAGAAAAUAAUUAAAAGUUUAAUAUUUUUAAUAUUAUUCAUGCGCAGGACGGUGCACUAUGUUCUGGCAGGUGUGACUGGAAUUGAUCGGAAUGAGUUGGUGCAAUUGGUACGGACCGAAAUUUUUACCAGUGUAGAAAAAGGGUGUUGGGUGUUUCACAAUAUUAUUGAAAGCAAACCAAAAAGACCAAGAACCGAUGAACCCGAGAACUAGAGUAAACUGCAGUUAAACUACAAAUCAUCUGUCGAUUAAGUCGUAUUUUCACAUUCUUUAAACCGGAAAAACAAAAAUUACACUUCAAAUCCCUUGAGCCAUUGUUAUACUUUUUCUCUGCACUCAAUGAAAUAAAACACAACAUAAAAAAAAUAAGCACCAUCUCUUUUAUUACUUUUACUACUAAAAUAACUUUUUUUUUCUUGUGAAAAACCUAAGAUGGACUUAUAACAUAUAAUAAAAAGGGAAAAAAAAGACAAAUUAGGAAAGAUGAAAGAUGGGGAGAGGGUUUUAAAAUUCAAAGCCGUCAAAAUAGAUGAGUUUGGGGUUAUUAGUAUUAUUUUAUAUUGUUCAAUAGAAAAUUAAUUGUAUCGGUGGUUGAACCUGUGAGAUCAAAAAUUAAUUAAUUGAUUAAUUUAAUUAUCGAUCUAAUUUUAAAAAUAUUAAUAUUUCGGUAUAAAAUUAAUACAGUGCACACAAAUUAAUAUAACCGAAAUCUGUACGAAACCGAGCACCUUAAUUUAAUACAUAAUUUGACAUUCAUAUAAAAUAUUAUCUUGGAAAUAUAUUGAAAGAGGAAAGUAAUCGUAUGUAAAUGGAUAACUUGGAAGAUAUAAUGAAGCAGGAAUCAUUAUAUUAACAGUGGCAUCUUCUCGAUGUACGACUGCUCACUAUUUUGACUGCAUUUAUCGUUUGAUUCUUUUCUUAAUUAGCCAAACUCAUGUUAACAAUGGUAUAACAGUAAUUAAUUACUUCAUGGACAGAACAUCAAUAUAUAAAUACCCCAUAUAUAAUAAGCAACAACGUAUCAAAAUACACCAAAUAAUGGGAAUUGGAGAACGCCCAUUUAUACAAACAAAUAUAAGUGGGCAAAAUCAAUACUCAUAAUAAAGACACAAAGACGAUUAAAAGCCUUAUUAAACUAGAUCCAGUAUGCAGCAUAACAGAAAAUGGGGUAUUUCAAGGAGUAGAGCGAGAAGGUGGUGGAGAAAAGAAAGGAAUAGAGGGAACUGCAGUUGGGAUUGAGGGAAUGCUUGGCAGAGGCGGCAGUCCUCUUGGCAAUGUGGUAGGAAGUGGAGGAAGCGCCCCAGGGUUUGGGAGAUAAGGGAAAGAUGGCAAUGGUGGAAAAGAGAAAGGAAUAGGGGGAACUGCAGUUGGGAUUGUGGGGACUGAGGGAAUGCUUGGCAGGGGGGGUAGUCCUGUUGGCAAUGUGGUAGGAAGUGGAGGAAGCGCCCCAGGCCAUGGGAAUGAUUGUCGGGAUGGAGUUGGGAGAUUAGGGAAAGAUGGUAAACUUUGCGGUUGAGGCUGCUGCAGAAGGUGACGAGCUGCUACCCCAACAUCAAUGCUUGCAAAUGACAAAGCAAUCAAGAAUGCUAAAGCAAGGCAAUUGAAAGAGGCCAUUUUUGUUGAGAGAUUUCGAAACAAAUGAAGCAGAUGAAACAAAGUUCUUUAUCUAAAUAGUUGUGAGUGAGGAAAACAAAGCAUGGUAUUGAGGUUUAUAUAGGAAUUGGAGCAGUGAAUAGAAAUCCCCUGGCCCUAAACAAUGCCCCAUGCAUGCCCCCAAACCAAAAUAGCGCCACAUGUUUUUUAUUUUUUCCAUUUUAAUUGUAGUUCAUUUUUUAAAUAAAAUUUUUUUAAUGAUUUGGAUGAAUUUUUAACUUAUUAUCAACGUUUUUGUUUUUGUUUUAUUUUCUAUUAAUUUUACCUAUUCUUUAAUUAACAAAUUUAUAAUGAAUUGGAAUUAAUUUAACAGUUUUUUUUAUAAUCGUUCUUAUAAUAAAAUUUAAAAAGGUGGGAAUGAGUCCCACAAUGACAACAUGAUCCUUAAAUUUUGGGUGGUGGCAUGCCUUUAGUCAAAGGGUCAGAUAACAUUUGCUCAGUGUUAAUGUGCUCAAUGACGACUUUCUUUUCUUUAACAUGUUUCCUUAUGACUAGAUACUUAAAGUCGAUAGGUUUACUUCGACUUUCACUUUUUUACUCUUAGCCAUAAAGACAGCAAUUGAAUUGUCACAAUAUAUGAAAUAAUUGAAACCUAUAAUGACUCAGCUCAAAAAACUCGAGCCUCAAACCCAAAUUAAAUUAAAUCAAAAUCAUAAUUUAUUAUAUACAAUUGCAUAAAAUUAACAUAUUUUAAGUGUCAUAGUGCAUGUACAGCCCAAAUUUAGCUCGGGCCCCAAAACCUACCCAAACCCAAGUAACCAAUACAACUAGGGUUGAGCAAAAUUCGAUUCGACUCGAAAAAAUUGAAAAAAAAUUCGAAUUUCGAGUUAAACGAAUCGAGUUAUUCGAGUUAAUCGAGUUAUUCGAAUCAACUCGAUUUUUUUUUCGAAUUUCGAGUUCGAAUCGAGUUGAUUUUUCGAAUUCGAAUAACUCGAAUAAUUCGAAUAAUUCGAAUAUCAAAAUAUAAUAUUUUAGAGUUUUACCCUAAACUCCCAAACUUUUUUACUUUUCCCUCAAAACUUUUACUCCUUCCCACUUUUUCCCCAAAACUUUUACUCCCCUCCCCUCCCAACCCCCCAAUCUACCCAAAAUCUAUUUCCCACCAAAAUUUUACUCUUCCAUUCAUUUUUUUUUCCAAAAUUUUACUCUCAAAAACCCUCAAAACCUUUUAUUUUCUCCCAAAAUUUUUACUCCCUCCCACUUUUCCCCUAAAACUUUUAUUCUCUUCCCAUCCCACCUCCCAUCUACCCCAAACCCUCCCCCUCCAAUUUUUUUUUAAUAUUUUCCCUCCAAAAUUUUACUUCCCUUAUUUACUUUCCCUCAAACUUUUAUUCCCCAAAACUUUUUGUUUUCCCCCUAAACUUUUACUUCUCACCCUUUACUCUCAAAUAAAAAAUCAAAAUUAUCCAAAAAAAAUCACUAAACAUAAAUAGUAAUAAUUUUAUUUAUAUAUAAUAUUUAUAUUAUUAAAUUAAAUUUCACAUUUUAUAUUAUUUAUAUUAUUGAAUUGUUUAGUCAUAUUGAAUAUUUAUAUUAAAAUUGAAUUCUUAAUUAUGCCAUAAAAUAUUCGUGUUAAAAUUUUAUAUUGGUAUCAAUUUCAAAUUUUAUUUUUAAAAUAAAUUUUAUUAAAAAAAUCAUAUUUUUAUAUUUAAUAUAUUUUUUAAUUCCAAAAUACAUAGUGACAAGAAUCCGAAGAUAAUUGAAACAACUAAGCAAACAAAUAAGCUAACCAGUAUAUAAAAAAUUAAUAAAUAAAUUAUGAGGUGAUGAAAGUUAAUAAAAAAUUUGAUUAAGGUGGACAAAUUUUAUUACGAUGGGUGACAAUGGUUAUAAGGACCCAAAAUUAUUUUUUAAAAUUUAACUCGAACAAAUAUAUUCGAUUCGAUUCGAUUCGAAUUCCAUCUCACUCAACUCGAUUCGAGAAAACUUCAAAUAAAGUUAGGAUGAUAAAAUGAGAUUCGAAAACUCGAUUAACUCGAAAAUUUUCGAUUCAAUUCGAUUCGAUUCGAUCGAAUGCUCACCCCUAAAUACAACCCAAAUACAGACUAAAAAACCUAAGCCCAAAAACCAGCCCAAUAAGCCCAAAUCUAACCCUAGCCCAGAAACCCAAAUCAGAGACAAAAAAUAAAUUUUUCAAACCCUAGGUGCGCCGCACCUAGGGUUCUCUGCCCCGUUGGCCACCGCAUGCUAGGACCUGCUGCCACCGCCCUUGUCCCAUUUGCCUCUGACGCCUAGCCACUGCCACCGCCGCCUGCAGCACCAACUCCACUGCUCAACCCCUGCAAAAUGAAAACCAAACACGCAAAGCAGAAGCAAAAACAAUGCAAAAUAGUAGAAAAAAUAGAUAAAAAAAUGUAUUGUAAAUUGGCUAUUAAAGCCUGGAUCUCAGCCUUGUAAUCUUUCUUCUUUUGCUUUCACGAACGUUAGAAAAUAAAAACAAAAAAAAAGUUUCAAGAUGAUUAUCUUUAUUAUUUUAGAUUUCGAUUUUAUUUUAUUUUAUUUUCAUUUUAUCUUCUUAUUUUUAAGCACGAAAAUAAAAAAGAAAAGGAGAAAGAAACAUACCUGAAUCAGCCCUUAGAUCCGUCGUUAUCAGCCCUUCGACGCCGUCGGAUUCAGGUUUAGGGAAGGGCUAAGACCCUUUUUUUUUCUCCUUGUUUCCCCAUUCUAAGAUUUUGGUCUUUGAACGCGUUUCAACGCACUGAUCGAGAACGCCCUCUUGCAACGCCGGCCGUCAGCCACGGCGGCGCAAGCGAUGGUCCUGUUGGCUGAAUUUAGAGGGAUCGAGAGAGAGGCUAAGAGCUCUCUUUUUUUUUCUGAAAAAUGAAGUUGGAAAUGUUGUUUUUUUUUGUUUUUUUUACUAUUUAUAUAGGGUAUAAAACGAUGCCAUUUUGGACCUUUACAUCGGUGGCCAAAACGACGUCGUUUUGCCCUGACCCGAGCGGUGACCCGACCCUGGGGGGAGGAUCCGCGUGUUUUCUUAAAAAGGGAUAUUUUCGUGCGCGAUCCAUCUGCUUUUGCAAAGCGUUGCAAUUUGCCCUUUUUUCCUUCUUUUCUUUUAUUUCAAUUUAGCCGCAUAAUUUUAUUUUUGUUUCAUUUUAGUCCCGCGUAAAGUGAUGCAUUUUGAAGGACAGGAUAUUUCCUUUUUGGUCCCCCUGCUUUCCUGCGCAUCACAAAUUAAUCCUUUGCCUAUUUUAUUUUUGAUUUCUCCCCUGGGAUUUUGUUUUGUUUUCAAUUUAGUCCCGUUAUUAUUAUUAUUUAUUAAACUAAUUAGUUUUAUUAUUAUUAUUAUUAUUAUUGCAUUUAUUAUUAUUACCUACCUUAUUAUUAUUAUUUACCCAUUUAUACCGUUUUUAGAUUUUGUUAUAUAUAUACAUACUUACAUAUUUUUAAUUUUUAUAUAUGUACGUACUUAUAUUUUUUAUAUACUUUAUACUUUAUAUAUACAUAUAUACAUACAUAUUUUAAUAUAUUUUUAAACAUAUAUAUACAUUAUCAUUAUUUACUUGUUUAUAUAUAUAUUUUAAACUUUGUUGUAUUUAUACACAUAUAUUUUUAUAUUUUUAUAAUUUUUUUAUUUUCAUUAUUACUAUUAUUGUUUUAUUCAAAAUUUAUUUAUUUAUUUACAUGUCUAUUAUUAUUAUCAUUAUUUUUUUAAUGUUUUAGUUUUUAUUUGUUUAUUACUUGUUAUUGUGUAUACAUGAUUGAUUUUUUUUAUAUUUGUAUUCUUAUUUAUUUAUCUUUCUGUUUUUGCCCAUAUUAUUUUUACUUACAUUAUCAUAAUCGUUAUUCCAUUACAUCAAUUUUUACCCAGAUUCGUAAAAAAGAAAAUUUUGAAAAUAAAGGCAAUACUCAGUAUUUGGGAUUUUCGAGAGGAUUGAGCCCUAACGCAUUGGGUUCCAAUUUUCUUCGUUGAAUCUAAAUAAUCGAGAACGCUCUUUAAUCAAAAAACAUAAAUAAAAAGUUCAUUAUCGAGAAUUCAAUACGUUGUGUCCUAACGCAUUGCAUAUGACACGUUCUUUUCUCGAAAUAAUGAUUUUUCUAAAAAAUAAUAAAGGCAAUAUUCAAUGUUUAGAAUUUGAGAAAUUGUGCCCUAACAUAUUGGGUUGCGAUUUUUUCAUCUGACUUAAACAAUUGAAUAUCCUUUUAAAUUUUAUUGCACGAGUUUUUUGGGCAAAUUCAUUCUUGAGGAGGUGAAAUAUCAUGCCCUAACUCAUUGGGUGUGACAUUUUCUCUCUCCGAAAUGAGAGGGUCUUAACGGGUAAUUUGAUUUAUACAAGUUUUUUUAAUAAAUGAUUGUAUUUUAAAUCUCUUUAGAGUUUCUAAUUCUCGACACCAAGACACUAAAUAAUCAACUACGUACCAAUCUUGGGCGUUACGAGGGUGCUAAUCCUUCCUCACAUGUAAUCGACUCUCGAACCCAUUUUUCUGAAUUUAGUGGACCAAGAUCGUUGUUUUAAUAAAAUCAAAUCGUUUAUUAAAAACAACCACUUUUUAAGGUGGCCCAAUCACACCUCAUCAAAAAAGAUUUGUGGCAACUCCCAUUUUCGUUUCAUUUUCAAAACCCAAGUCGACCCCAUUUUCACAAAAAAUUGGUGUCAACAAUGCACAUUAAAUUAAAGUUUAUGUUUGACAUUAUAGAUUGAAGCAAUAUUCAUGUGUAAAAUUUUGAGAUUUAUUUCCUUAAUUAAAGUAAUAUUUCAAAUAGAAUACUUAAACAAUCCUCCAUGUUGGCAAACUUUAUGUACAUUAGAAACAAACUAAAUAAUUAGAAUAAAUCUAAAGUAUGGCUUACAUUUAAUUUAUUCACAAUGUGACUUAAACUUUGGCCUUCAAGAUUUCACGGUCUCAAAUUAUGUCUUAAAAAUUUUAAGAUCAUUUUAGCUUUGUUAAAAAAAAUCAAAAGUUUAGAAAGUUAGAAUUGUUGCUUGAGGCGUGAAUAUCCCUAGUCUUUAGGAUAUUCAUGGAUUUACUAUCUCUCAAGAUUUAAUUUGUAUCAUGCACAAUGAAAAAAUUUAAAAAAAAAUUUCCCAUUUGAAUGGAAUUGAGCUAUUAGGCUCAAGCCUCGUGUGCGCAUAUAUAUUCUCUUAUUUUGAGUCUUACAAGUUUAUAAUAAACCAAAUCUAUAUAAACGUCAUUUAACAAGUGUAUCUAAAAUAUGUUUAAUAUGUGUCAUUCUUUAAAAUACAUGAAAACUUCAAAUAUGGUUUAGGUCAUUUUCAGAUUUGUCUUAUUUUAGGUUCAAAUCAUUCGAAUUUGAGGCUAAGUUUUUCAUGUCUAAUCAUUAUUAAUCCGAAUCAUUUUAGAUUUUGAUCAGUUUAAGUUUCAAUUAUUUUGUGAUCAAAUUAUUUUAAGUUUAGAUAAAUUUGGGUCAAUUCGAAUUUGACUUAAUUACGUAAUUACCUUUUUUUUUAUAAUAAAUUGAGCUGACUGAAAUUUAGAUUGGAAUUUAUUUAGUGUGCCUUUGUGUUUAAGUUGAAAUUUAAACAUCUGUAUUAGAAAUACACAUGUUAAUACAAUUUUAUGUUAAAGACAAUAAUACGACAGAGUUGAUUUGGGAGAUAAACAUGUUAAUUUUUUAAUCCCAACUAAAAUUGUACAUAAUUCUUUUAUGUCAUAUUAAAUACAUGUAUAAAAAUUGUCAAUAAAUUAUGCCUAGCGACAACGUUAUUCAAAUCUAAUUUCAUUGUUAAUACCUAUUUCUAUUUUUCUUCUAUUGUCUUCAACUUUAAAUAUGAAGGAAUUGAAAUUUUAAGAAUUGAGAUUUCUUUUCUUUGUAUUAGUGGACGUUUGAUUUUUCGUUUGAUUUUUUUACUAGAAUUGAUGCAUAUCUUUUCAGAUUUAUCAAUAUUUUUUAAAAUUAUUUAAGAUAUGUAUAUAAAUAUAUUACAAAUAUAAAAUGAAUGAAACUAAAUGCAUUUCAAAUUUAAAAUAUUCAUUAAUAAACUUAAUAAAUAAAAAUUUAUCAUUCAAAUAAAUCCAAAAUUAUUAAUAAUAAUCCAUCAUUUAAUAUGAAUGGAUAUUUUUUUAUUUGAUGAUCGGGUGAAUGGUUUUUUCUUAAUUAUAUCUUGAAUGUGAAAGUAUAUUCCAUUUUUUUUUAAAUUUACAUUCCGAUGAAGCAUUUUUAAUUAGUCAAAUUUCAAUUAAGUUUUUAGCAUAAUAGUAAAUUAUUAAAAGUUUAAUAUUUUAAAUAUUAUUCAUGCACAGGACGGUGCACUAUGUUCUGGCAGGUGUGACUGGAAUUGAUCGGAAUGAGUUGGUGCAAUUGGUACAGACCGAAAUUUUUACCAGUGUAGAAAAAUGGUGUUGGGUGUUUCGCAAUGUUAUCGAAACCAAACCAAACAGACCAAGAACCGAUGAACCCGAGAACUAGAGUAAACUGCAGUUAAAUUGCAAAUCAUCAGCUGAUUAAGCCGUAUUUUCACAUUUUCUAGAUUGGAAAAACAAAAAUUUCACUUCAAAUCCCUUGAGCUUUUGUUACACUUCUUCUCUUAACUCAAUGAAAUAAAACAAACCAUAAAAAGAAUAAGCACCGUUUCUUUUAUUACUUUUUCUAUUAAAAUAUUAUUUUUUUUCUCGUGAAAAACCUGGACUUAUAACAUUCAAUCAAAGGAAAAAAAAGACAAAUUAGGAAAGAUGAAAGAUGGGGAGAGGGUUUUAAAAUUUAAAGCCUUCAAAAUAGAUGAGUUUAGCGUUAUUAAUAUUAUUUUAUAUUAUUCAAUAGAAAAUUAAUUGUAUCGGUGGUUGAACCUGUGAGAUCAAGAAUUAAUUAUUUGAUUAAUUUGAUUAUCGAUUUAAUUUUAAAAAUAUUAAUAAUUCGAUACAAAAUUAAUAUAGUGCAGACAAAUUAAUAUAACAGAAAAUUGUACGAAACGAGCACCUUAAUUUAAUACAUAAUUUGACAUUCAUAUAAAAUAUUAUCUUGGAAAUAUAUUGAAAGAAGAAAGUAAUCGUAUGUAAAUGGGUAACUUGGAAGAGAUGAUGAAGCAGGAAUCAUUAUAUUAAAAGUGGCAUCUUCUCGAUGUACGGCUGCUCACUAUCUUGACUGCAUUUAUCGUUUGAUUCUUUUCUUAAUUAGCCAAACUCAUGUUAACAAUGGUAUAACAGUAAUUAAUUACUUCAUGGACAGAACAUCAAUAUAUAAAUACCCCAUAUAUAAUAAGCAACAACGUAUCAAAAUACACCAAAUAAUGGGAAUUGGAGAACGCCCAUUUAUACAAACAAAUAUAAGUGGGCAAAAUCAAUACUCAUAAUAAAGACACAAAGACGACUAAAAACCUUAUUAAACUAGAUCCAGUAUGCAGCAUAACAGAAAAGGGGGUGUUUCAAGGAGUAGAACGAGAAGGUGGUGAAGAAAAGAAAGGAAUAGAGGGAACUGCGGUUGGGAUUGAGGGAAUGCUUGGCAGAGGCGGCAGUCCGCUUGGCAAUGUGGUAGGAAGUGGAGGAAGCGCCCCAGGGUUUGGGAGAUUAGGGAAAGAUGGCAAUGGUGGAAAAGAGAAAGGAAUAGGGGGAAUUGCAGUUGGGAUUGUGGGGACUGAGGGAAUGCUUGGCAGAGGGGGUAGUCCUGUUGGCAAUGUGGUAGGAAGUGGAGGAAGCGCCCCUGGCCAUGGGAAUGAUUGUCGGGAUGGCGUUGGGAGAUUAGGGAAAUAUGGUAAACUUUGCGGUUGAGGCUGCUGCAGAAGGUGACGAGCUGCUCCCCCAACAUCAAUGCUUGCAAAUGACAAAGCAAUCAAGAAUGCUAAAGCAAGGCAAUUGAAAGAGGCCAUUUUUGUUCAGAGAUUUCGAAACAAAUGAAGCAGAUGAAACAAAGUUCUUUAUCUGAAUAGUUGUG